UGAUUUUCAGUUGACUGAGCGGCGGACGGGUGAGUAACGCGUGGGUGACCUGCCCCAUACACAUGGAUAACAUACCGAAAGGUAUGCUAAUACAAGAUGACAUAAGGGAUUCGCAUGGAUUUCUUAUCAAAGCUCCGGCGGUAUGAGAUGGACCCGCGUCUGAUUAGCUAGUUGGUAAGAUAAUGGCUUACCAAGGCGACGAUCAGUAGCCGACCUGAGAGGGUGAUCGGCCACAUUGGGACUGAGACACGGCCCAGACUCC
rnacentral:rRNA from 1 species